AUGCUUGCUCCAGUAACACACAUACUUAAGUUGGAACAAUAGAGAUUGGCAUGGCCUCUCUGAAAGAAUGACAUGCAAAUUUGUGAAGCAUUCCAUAUUUUU
ensembl:snRNA U6 U6 spliceosomal RNA